rnacentral:misc_RNA from 1 species
GAUGAAAGAACGCAGCGAAAUGCGAUAAGUAAUGUGAAUUGCAGAAUUCAGUGAAUCAUCGAAUCUUUGAACGCACAUUGCGCCCCCUGGUAUUCCGGGGGGCAUGCCUGUCCGAGCGUCAUUACAACCCUCAAGCUCAGCUUGGUAUUGGGCCCCGCCGACCCGGCGGGCCCUAAAGUCAGUGGCGGUGCCGUCCGGCUCCGAGCGUAGUAAUUCUUCUCGCUCUGGAGGUCCGGUCGUGUGCUCGCCAGCAACCCCCAAUUUUUUUCAGGUUGACCUCGGAUCAGGUAGGGAUACCCGCUGAACUUAAGCAUAUCAAUAAGCGGAGGA